GACGAACGCUGGCGGCGUGCUUAACACAUGCAAGUCGAACGGAAAGGCCCUGCUUUUGUGGGGUGCUCGAGUGGCGAACGGGUGAGUAACACGUGAGUAACCUGCCCUUGACUUUGGGAUAACUUCAGGAAACUGGGGCUAAUACCGGAUAGGAGCUCCUGCUGCAUGGUGGGGGUUGGAAAGUUUCGGCGGUUGGGGAUGGACUCGCGGCUUAUCAGCUUGUUGGUGGGGUAGUGGCUUACCAAGGCUUUGACGGGUAGCCGGCCUGAGAGGGUGACCGGCCACAUUGGGACUGGGAUACGGCCCAGACUCCUACGGGAGGCAGCAGUGGGGAAUAUUGCACAAUGGGCGGAAGCCUGAUGCAGCAACGCCGCGUGCGGGAUGAAGGCCUUCGGGUUGUAAACCGCUUUCGCCUGUGACGAAGCGUGAGUGACGGUAAUGGGUAAAGAAGCACCGGCUAACUACGUG
rnacentral:rRNA from 1 species